rnacentral:lncRNA from 1 species
GUUCUGUUUACCCAGCAGCCACGUUGUUCCUGUUCCAGUUGGGGUGGAUGUAGACAUUGCUGACGGUCAUGUACUGCUCACGGCCCUCCUGUUUGUAGAUGUCGUGCUCACCGAGGACAACACGCCAAGUUCUUGAGCUACACAAGAUGGAAGAAGAAAUGUUAAUUGUAUACGGGCCUACUGCCUUUUCACAUCCUUAAUGUCGAAAGUGGUAAAAAGUCAUUUGACAAUAAAUGAAUGAAGAGACAAAAGACGUGGAUUCCUUACGUAUCAACGCAGUGAGCGGCGGUCAAAACAAAGUUCUGUUUGAUCAGAGUUCCACCACAGAAAGAGAGAAAGAUCUUACCCAAAGCGGCCAGCACACUCAACAACAGGAUCCUCAGCAUGUUUGCAGUCUUUCUGGACCUUCUGCACUCUGAGCUCCUCCAUCAUCCCUAUAUAUACACACCCACAGACGGUCAAGCGGCGCUGGACACAACAGGUUUUCUGAUGCUUACAGGUGUGUGAAUCCCACCGAUAACACCGGUGCCAAGGCCAGCGUGCCAGAUGCAGAAUAAGCAAUUUUUUCUGCUUUGAUAAUGUUUAACCUGAAUAAGUUAAACAAUAAGUCUUAUAUACAGUAAUGUAAAGUUUAAAUAAAUGCACACAUUUUAACGCUCCUA